AUGGGCGGUCUGGGGUUUAAGGACUUCGAAUUAUUCAAUCUUGCUCUGCUAGCGAAACAAGCAUGGCGUAUAUUACAAACGCCGGAAUCCUUGAGCGCAAGAAUUCUAAAGAGUGUUUACUUUCCCAAUGGAUGUAUUUUAUCAGCUGAACUUGGAAGUCACCCCAGCCAAAUCUGGCGCUCUAUUAUUGAGGGGCGAGAUAUACUAAAACUUGGCCUGAUCAAACGCAUAGGAAACAGUGAGACAACAAAAAUUUGGGAGGACAACUGGAUUCCCAGGGAUGUGAUGAUGAGGCCGUACGGGAGGAGAUCUGCCAACCCCCUGAAUUGGUCUCAUAUCUGA
rnacentral:rRNA from 1 species